rnacentral:rRNA from 1 species
GCAUGAAGCCCCCCUCAAGAUGAGAUUUCCCAUUACGCAAGUAAGUAAGAUCCCUCAAAGACGAUGAGGUAGAUAGGUUCGAGGUGGAAGUGUGGUGACACAUGGAGCUGACGAAUACUAAUCGAUCGAGGACUUAACCAAAA